CAGCAGCCGCGGGAAUACGUAGGUGGCAAGCGUUGUCCGGAAUUAUUGGGCGUAAAGCGCGCGCAGGCGGAUAGGUCAGUCUGUCUUAAAAGUUCGGGGCUUAACCCCGUGAUGGGAUGGAAACUGCCAAUCUAGAGUAUCGGAGAGGAAAGUGGAAUUCCUAGUGUAGCGGUGAAAUGCGUAGAUAUUAGGAAGAACACCAGUGGCGAAGGCGACUUUCUGGACGAAAACUGACGCUGAGGCGCGAAAGCCAGGGGAGCGAACGGGAUUAGAGACCCCUGUAGUCCCUGUCUCUUAUACC
rnacentral:rRNA from 1 species